AUUGGUGAAUAUGAAUAAACAAAUUCACAGAUCAUGCUUCCAUCACAAUAAAUGCAUUGCAGUAUGACAGUGACAUCUGUAACAUCU
rnacentral:snoRNA from 1 species